rnacentral:rRNA from 1 species
UACGUAGGAGGCGAGCGUUGUCCGGAGUUACUGGGCGUAAAGGGUGCGCAGGCGGUGGCCCGCGUGGGCGGUGAAAGCUCCUGGCUCAACUGGGAGAGGGCCGUCCAGACGGGGUCACUUGAGGGGCGGAGAGGGGCGUGGAACUCCAGGUGUAGUGGUGAAAUGCGUAGAUAUCUGGAAGAACACCAAAGGCGAAGGCAGUGUCCUGGGUGGUCGCUGACGCUGAGAGGCGAAAGCCAGGGGAGCGAACGGG